rnacentral:rRNA from 1 species
UCCUCCCUCUGGCGGCGUGCUUAACACAUGCAAGUCGAACGGAAAGGCCCUGCUUUUGUGGGGUGCUCGAGUGGCGAACGGGUGAGUAACACGUGAGUAACCUGCCCUUGACUUUGGGAUAACUUCAGGAAACUGGGGCUAAUACCGGAUAAGAGCUCCUGCUGCAUGGUGGGGGUUGGAAAGUUUCGGCGGUUGGGGAUGGACUCGCGGCUUAUCAGCUUGUUGGUGGGGUAGUGGCUUACCAAGGCUUUGACGGGUAGCCGGCCUGAGAGGGUGACCGGCCACAUUGGGACUGAGAUACGGCCCAGACUCCUACGGGAGGCAGCAGUGGGGAAUAUUGCACAAUGGGCGGAAGCCUGAUGCAGCAACGCCGCGUGCGGGAUGACGGCCUUCGGGUUGUAAACCGCUUUCGCCUGUGACGAAGCGUGAGUGACGGUAAUGGGUAAAGAAGCACCGGCUAACUACGUG